rnacentral:rRNA from 1 species
GAUGAACGCUGGCGGCGUGCUUAACACAUGCAAGUCGAACGGUGAAGCUCCAGCUUGCUGGAGUGGAUCAGUGGCGAACGGGUGAGUAACACGUGAGCAACCUGCCCCUGACUCUGGGAUAACAGCCGGAAACGGCUGCUAAUACCGGAUAUGCACCAUGAACGCAUGUUCUGUGGUGGGAAAGAUUUUUCGGUUGGGGAUGGGCUCGCGGCCUAUCAGCUUGUUGGUGAGGUAAUGGCUCACCAAGGCGUCGACGGGUAGCCGGCCUGAGAGGGUGACCGGGCAAGCGGUGACGAUAAGACGGCCCAGACUCGUCCGGGAGGAAGCAGGGGGGAGUAGGGUACAAUGGGGUAAAGCCUGAUGCAGCAACGCAGCGGGAGGGAGGACGGCCUUCGGGUAGUAAAACUCAUGUGGCAGGGAAGAAGCGUGAGGGACGGGACGUUAAGAAAAAGCUCCGGCUAAGUACGGG